UCACGAAAUGAUACCUAAAUCAGGGGGC
rnacentral:piRNA from 1 species